UACGUAGGCAGCGAGCGUUGUUCGGAGUUACUGGGCGUAAAGGGUGUGUAGGCGGUUUUUUAAGUUUGGUGUGAAAUCUCCCGGCUCAACUGGGAGGGUGCGCCGAAUACUGAAUGACUAGAGUACGGGAGAGGAAAGUGGAAUUCCUGGUGUAGCGGUGAAAUGCGUAGAUAUCAGGAGGAACACCGGUGGUGUAGACGGCUUUCUGGACCGUAACUGACGCUGAAACACGAAAGCGUGGGUAGCAAACAGG
rnacentral:rRNA from 1 species